ACGACCUUACUUGAACAUGAUUUGUUCUAUAGGCUCGUACCUCUGUAUCCUUGAUUUCUAAGGAGACAUGCCCUAUAUCCUGGUUGAUGAACCAUGACCGUGCAACCAGAGCGUGAUUAACGGCUAAGAUCAUCUCUAGAUGUAUCCGGUGCUGUAGAGGAUCGUUACCCGGCUCGGUCUAAACCUUGCAGGGGCGGUUGCACGGCGGUCUGACAGGCU